AGCAGCCGCGGUAAUUCCAGCUCCAAUAGCGUAUAUUAAAGUUGUUGCAGUUAAAAAGCUCGUAGUUGAAUUUCGGGGUUCAUACGUUGGUCGGGCUAUUUGGUCUGUACUUAUGUAAUGGAUUCCUACCUUCUGAAUAACCGGCAUGCCAUUAAUUUGGUGCGCCGGGGAAGCAGGACUGUUACCUUGAAAAAAUUAGAGUGCUUAAAGCAGGCUAUCGCCUGAAUACAUUAGCAUGGAAUAAUGAAAUAGGACGGCAUGGUUCUAUUUUGUUGGUUUCUAGGAUCACCGUAAUGAUUAAUAGGGAUAGUUGGGGGCAUUAGUAUUCAAUUGUCAGAGGUGAAAUUCUUGGAUUUAUUGAAGACUAACUUCUGCGAAAGCAUUUGCCAAGGAUGUUUUCAUUAAUCAAGAACGAAAGUUAGGGCGAUCGAAGACGAUCAGAUACCGUCGUAGUCUUAACCAUAAACUAUGCCGACUAGGGAUCGGACGAUGUUAAUUUUUUAAUGACUCG
rnacentral:rRNA from 1 species